rnacentral:lncRNA from 1 species
GACAGAGCCUCCCCUGUCCGCCCAAGGCUUAACAACCUGUACAAAUAGAGUACCAACUUGCACAUGCGGAAGCAAAUAUAAUGGCUUGCACGAGGACAAGCAAUAGCCAAAGUGAAAGAGCUAACUAAUCACAUACAAGUACUAUGAUUAAAUUUAAAUCACAUACUUAAACACUUACAUUCUUUUUCAUCAUUUCUUUUUACAUCUCAUAUCUCCAAAAUAUAACAUUUAAUAUUAAGUAAAUUCUUUUACAUCAUUCAUGUCCUUUCAUAUAACAACUAUAAUCAUCAAAAUACAAAAGAUGAUAUAUCAAAAGGGUAUGCAACUAUGAAAAUAAAACAUCUCGGGCGGUCUCUGCCUAGGGCGCGAUGCCCUUACUGCGAUCGUCAGCCCCUCGCUCGGUCCCGGCUCUGUGGAAAUAGUGGUGUGAGAACUACAACAAAGUUCCCAGUGGGUUCGGCAACCAACCACGUCGACUUUCCCACUAG